AAUAGAUACCCAGGUAGUCCAUGCCGUAAACGUUGGGCACUAGGUGUGGGGCUCAUUCCACGAGUUCCGUGCCGCAGCAAACGCAUUAAGUGCCCCGCCUGGGGAGUACGGCCGCAAGGCUAAAACUCAAAGAAAUUGACGGGGGCCCGCACAAGCGGCGGAGCAUGCGGAUUAAUUCGAUGCAACGCGAAGAACCUUACCAAGGCUUGACAUACACCGGAAACUUCCAGAGAUGGUUGCCCCGCAAGGUCGGUGUACAGGUGGUGCAUGGUUGUCGUCAGCUCGUGUCGUGAGAUGUUGGGUUAAGUCCCGCAACGAGCGCAACCCUCGUCCUAUGUUGCCAGCGGGUCAUGCCGGGGACUCAUAGGAGACUGCCGGGGUCAACUCGGAGGAAGGUGGGGAUGACGUCAAAUCAUCAUGCCCCUUAUGUCUUGGGCUUCACGCAUGCUACAAUGGCCGGUACAAAGGGCUGCGAUACCGCGAGGUGGAGCGAAUCCCGAAAAAGCCGGUCUCAGUUCGGAUUGGGGUCUGCAACUCCG
rnacentral:rRNA from 1 species